ensembl:lncRNA
CAAGAAGAAAAGCCACCCGUUCUCCCCCUCCCCUAGCUCCUAGCUCCUUUGCCCAGGAGCUGCCUUCAUCGCAGUCACGCCCCUUCCUUCUGAGGAGCUUUCUAGCUGCCUAAGCUGGUAGACCUCCUGAUUUAUUCCUCCAUCUCCGCUCCCUUUCGCCUCAUCUUCUCUUAGUUCUCAGCGCCCCCUCCACCCCCACCUCCAGUCUGUCUCGCCUCCGACCAUCCGCUGCUCCACCCGCCGGCCCGGUAUCCUGCCUGUCCAGUGCCACCAAGGAGAGACCGGACGGAGCGGUGAGGAGGGGAGCAGCCGGGAGCUGGGGCUUCCCUCCUGCCUACCCCUGGCCUCUGGCCCGGGACCGAAGCCACUUGAGCGAGCAGAGUCGUCACCUUGUCUUCGUUUCCUUCAGGGGUAGGAGACGCGUGGUUACUUUUCGCGGGGAAAUGGGGCAGGAAUCCGUGGUGGCGUGAACUUGAUCAUAACCUCUGCGUGAUGAUCACAUUUUAGUUUAGUAGCCAGUUUUACUUUGUGGAUCAUGGGCUGUAAACCAAAGCUUAUUAGUUUGAGUUUCCCAUAUGAAUUGGAGAAAUACAACAAAUGACGACAAACCAUUUUAUUAAGGUAACAUUUGCGUUCUUUUCUCCUACAAUUAGUUUCUCUUUGCUGUGUGUGUGUGUGUGUGUGUGUGUGUGUGUGUGUGUGUGUGUGUGUGUGUGCGUGUGUGUGUGUGUGUGUUUGGUGGAGGCAAAUUGCUUUCUUAGGAAAAAAAAAAAUUUGGAGCUAAGAAAAAUUUGAUGACCGCCCCCCUUACUCCCUAGAAUAUUUUGUCUGCCUCAGGCUCUCAGCUUGGCUUCCAUUAGGACACUGUGAUGACUUUUCCGACCUGGUACUUUUUGUGAGUUUGCUAAGUGGUUCUCCCAUGGCAGCCUGAAGUAGAGUGGUUAUGAUGGGAAUUGGAGUGCAGAAUUUCUAGCAUGUUCUUUCUACUGUACUCCAUCUUAUUUAGGGAAAUGAAUCCUUGCUUCUGAGGGUUGAAGGCCAUUUGCAAUAGAAUAAGUGUCCUGUAGUUAAAUAAAUAUGUAAUAUGGGUCUGCUGUGGUCCUCCUUUCCCUUGUAACUAGUAGGGGACAGUCAUUCUGUACAUAUAUUCCCUGAUGCUAUAUGACCUGUGCCUGCACCAGUUUCGAAGAGUAAGUGGGGACAUUGGCUGGGUUAUCUGAGAGUAAGUGGGGACAUUGGCUGGGUUAUCUGAUUUGUAGUUUAAUUGAUUCCGCCUUAGCCCUUCCUGAGAAAUCAGGGUCUAGAAUUUUGUUUUUCAGUAGCAACUCAGUGAAGACAGGUUCCUGGGGCUUGCAAAUCAGAGGGAGGAGAAGCGGCUGCCUUUGGGGAGUGACUCAGGCCCUUUGGUAUGAAGAUACGAAAUGCUGGCUUCUGUCCAUGCACCUGCUGGGUGCCACACCUGUAGUCAGCACCUGAGCCCCACUCAGACAGAAAAACCAGACUGAAGGCAAAUGGAGCUCCCUUCAAAACGGGUUCAACAAAACGGAGAGCUCCUGAUUAUGUUAGCAAAGCACCGCUGUGAAUGAUUACAUUGAGCCAUUGCAGUGUUGGUAUGGGGAAACGUCUUAGAUAUUUUCUUAUAGGUGCAGUGCACUGGCUUGCUCAAGAGACUGUUGAAGUCCCAGAGGAAUUUGCUUUCCUGAUGAAUUUCUCCUGGGAACUGUCGUCUUAAUAAUUGGAGAGUUCUGUAGAAGUUUGUGUCUAGUCACACAGCAUGGGGCAGGAAGUCACAAGAGUUGGGUUCUGAUCCUGGCCCCACGAAGCUGCGGAGAAGGACAAAUAAGAUAACAGAAGUGAAAGCUUCUGUCUCCUUAGAAGAAAGGCUGAGAAACUUAAGGUAAGAGUAUUAUUGUUAUCGCUAUUCUGUGUCUUUCAUUCCUUUUCAUCUCUUUCUGUUGCCUCUAGCAGAGUCUUUGGAAAGUUAUUUACUCAAUAGGCAGUUAUUAAGCACCUAAUGUUUUAGAUGUUGGGAAGUAUACAGAGGAAAUCAUGCACUCAGCCCAUGCCCUCUGAGAUCACAAUUUCCAUUUCUGGCUCAGCCUAUCAUAAUGAUUUCUAUUGGGGAUUCGCUGAUGGCUCAGGUAGAUUCUUUACCAGCUGAGCCAGGGGGGAAGCUGGCUGUAGUAAGUGCUCAAUAAAUGUUUGUGGAAAAUAUGGUGCAAUAAGUAUUGUAAUAGAGAUGUGUCCAAAGUCCAGCGAGGAGACUGAGAAGAGAGAAUUAAUUUUCCACAUUGAGCAGAGUUGGAGGCAAGGGGAAGAAGGAGAUGGAUUGGGAAAAUUCUUCAAGGAGAAGAUGGAGAGAGAGGAACUGCCGUCGUCUGAAAGCUCUGACUGAGCAGCCCAGAAAGAAAUGCUUGCUGUGUCUGCUUUUGCUAAGCCAGGGGCAUCUCUGUCCUGUUGCCUCCUCUGUCUUAAGACUGGAUGACUUUUAUGGUUGGAUCUGCAAAUAAACCUCCGUCUAUAACACAUUGACCAUGUAAGACAGGUGCCACUUACUCAUAUAAUAUUAAACAAGACUGACCUUAAAUGUGCCUCAAAACUGUGGUUGAAAAUAGAGAUACAUACACAGACUCAUUGGUCAUGUGCACUUAUUUCUAUAUAGCAAAAUAGCCUUUAAAAUAUAUUGAAGAUUGGUUCUGAAAAUUAACAGAUUUAUUUCUCAGAACGUACCAUGUUGGGUCGCUGGAACUGAAUGUUUUUGAGCUGUCAGAUCUUUCCAAGGGCAAAAAUGAAACAUGAUAUAAGCCAUUACAGGCCAUGAACCUGUUCUCACCCACCUGAUGCUUUUACUAAUUAGCUUCUUGGCUGAGUGGCAAUUUGGGGCAAGUGCGUGCAAGCUGGAUUCACAGGGGAACCCACAUUCCACUCUGCCAUUUCGCAAGCCACUAGGAUACUACGCUGGCUUCUUUCCCUCCCAGGAGUCCUGCUCUGCCCUGGUGGAAGAAUGGGAGCAGAAGAACUUUUCAUUAAAUGAAGGAGAGAUUUCAUGGGGCUUUGGUGUUUUGUUAGUUUUAUUUAUUUAUUUUUUUUUGGUGAGUUGUCUG